rnacentral:rRNA from 1 species
CUGUUCUCGCCCGAUCUCGUCUGAUCUCGGAAGCUAAACAG